rnacentral:rRNA from 1 species
UACAGGAGGGGCAAGCGUUGUUCGGAAUUACUGGGCGUAAAGGGCGCGUAGGCGGCCUUCUAAGUCGAACGUGAAAUCCCCGGGCUCAACCCGGGAACUGCGUCCGAUACUGGAAGGCUUGAAUCCGGGAGAGGGAUGCGGAAUUCCAGGUGUAGCGGUGAAAUGCGUAGAUAUCUGGAGGAACACCGGUGGCGAAGGCGCAUCCUGGACCGGCAUUGACGCUGAGGCGCGAAAGCCAGGGGAGCAAAGCGGG